rnacentral:rRNA from 1 species
GAUGAACGCUAGCGGCAGGCUUAAUACAUGCAAGUCGAGGGGCAGCAGCUUUGUAGCAAUACAGGGGCUGGCGACCGGCAAACGGGUGCGGAACACGUACGCAACCUUCCUUUAACUGGAAGAUAGCCCACCGAAGGUGGAUUAAUACUCCAUAACAUAUUGAAGAGGCAUCUCUUUGAUAUUAAAGCUCCGGCGGUUAAAGAUGGGCGUGCGUCUGAUUAGGUAGUUGGCGGGGUAACGGCCCACAAGCCUUCGAUCAGUAGCUGAUGUGAGAGCAUGAUCAGCCACACGGGCACUGAGACACGGGGCCCCGACUCCUACGGGAGGCAGCAGUAAGGAAUAUUGGUCAAUGGACGCAAGUCUGAACAG